UUGUUUUUAAAAAGUCUAACUAGAAAAUGGAAUGAGUCCUGUAAUAUGUACUCAAAUAACUCCUUUUGUUCUGUAUCCAACCAGUGCAUUACUUUUACUAGGUAAAAACUCUGAUUCUGUCACCAUUUCUUUGUGAAGUAUUAGUCUUACAGCUGUCACAAGAACUUUGUGUCAACACAAACACAGCGGCUGUUUCUUAUCGUCUUUUUGGAAAUGUCAUCUGGUGGAUUAAUGAGUCUCUGGUCUGGAUUGAUAGUUUGUGUCUUCUUUCAAGCCCUUUUCUAUCUGGUGUACAUCUUGAGGAUAAACUGGAGCAAAGUUGUGGAGCAGGCACAGGUUCAAGCUGGACUAAAAGGGAAUAAAGAGACCAUGCCUACCUCCUCAGAUCUACCUAUCUUGGGAAGAGAAGUAACUGAUGGAAUCAUUUUGCCUGAUAUCAUCAGACCAGAGAGCCAGACCCCUCGACUGAUGAGACCAGAAGAAAACACCCAGUAUGCAAUGUCCACCGCUGGAGAGGUCCUGACAGUGAGGCAGCUGAUAUUCUAUCAUGGAAUGGCUUUAGCUCUUGCUGUCACUUUCCUUUCAGCAGGAAUUUUCAUUAAGAGUUUUCAAUGACCAUGGCUAAAAUGGUAGAAUUACCACCAUUCUACAAACUAGAAAUGAUAAUUAUAUGCCAUAUGUUAAGUAUGAAAGGUGACCUUGUUAUUUGGACAGUUUUUACUCUUAACUGUGGAUGGAAAGAAUAUCAGGGAUGUUUCCUUGGUUAUUCCAAGGAAUUGCACUAUCCUAUUGGAGAUCAAGAAAGGGGCUAUAAUUUUAAGUAAAGUUUUCCCUGUUAAUUUUAUCAUGGUUUCUAAAUAUACAAAUUAGAUUUUCCUUGAUGUAAAGGUUACUUACUCUUUCUUAUUUCAAACAUCUUUCUUCUCCUGGGGAGUGGUUCAUAGUCCUGUAAAAUAUUAUUGCUGAUCUAUUUUCUUUGUAUUUCUCUAUGAAUGUACUUAAUCUUGUCAGUGAGUGUAUAUUAAGUGCUUGUUCAAGUCCUAUCUCAGGUAUUGCCAUAUAAGCUUUUAUAAAAUGGAACCUCUUAAAAUUUACAAUGUAUGCUGACAAUAUUUGGAGCUAUACAGUCAAUACAAAAGAUUAACUUUUA
rnacentral:lncRNA from 1 species